CGGCGAGACCACGGGAACCGGACUUCAACCAGGCACAUCUACAACAGCUGAUGGACAUGGGUUUCACUCGGGAGCAUGCUGUGGAGGCGCUGACUCACACCACCUCACUGGAGCAGGCAACCGAGUACUGCCUCACGCACCCCCCUCCCAUCCCGCUGGCUGCACAGGAGCUAGCGGAUGGGAUCGGGAUGUGUG